UACGUAGGGACCGAGCGUUGUCCGGAAUCAUUGGGCGUAAAGAGCGUGUAGGCGGCCACUUAAGUCCUGCGUGAAAUCUUGCGGCUCAACCGCAAGCGGUCGUGGGAAACUGGGUGGCUAGAGUGCGGGAGAGGAGAGUGGAAUUCCUGGUGUAGCGGUGGAAUGCGCAGAUAUCAGGAAGAACACCCGUGGCGAAGGCGGCUCUCUGGAACGCAACUGACGCUGAGACGCGAAAGCUAGGGGAGCAAACAGG
rnacentral:rRNA from 1 species